GACCGCGUAGCUCAGUUGGCAGAGCAUUGGGCUAGUACUCCAAAGGUCGUAGGUUCGAUUCCCACCGUGGACA